AAUCUCUAGGUUCUCUGCCAUUUCAUCUCACUAAGGCACCUCCAGUGUUAUUUUCAUGGGACCCCAAAUCAGGGAUGCUACUGCUGCUGCUGCUGCUAAGUCGCUUCAGUCGUGUCCGACUCUGUGCGACCCCAUAGGCGGCAGCCCACCAGGCUCCCUAAUCCCUGGGAUUCUCCAGGGAUGAAAGGCAGCUGUGAAUUCAGCCUACAGAAGGAGGAUUCUCCUUGGUCCAGGCUAACUGAGACUCUGUGAAGAUCCUGGAAGAGGAGUCAGUGAGAGAAGACUUGGUGUGGAAGAUGGGACAUGUGUUAGUCUUGGGAUGGAAUGGGACAGAUUUAUGAAUGGGGAACUCUAUGCCAGG
ensembl:lncRNA